CGUGUCUUUUAUUUUCAUUGGAUUGCUGGACAUGCUUGCAGUCCACUUCGUAUUGCCAUAUCUAGACAAUCAUAUGAAAGAGUUGGGCUUCAAUCAUAUUCAGAUUGGAUUCGUUGGAGCUGCAUUUUACGCGUGUCAAUUGAUAUCAUCACCAUUUAUAGGCAGCGUGAGUGAUAUAAAGGGAAGAAAACCAGUAUUAUUAUAUAAUCAGUUUGAUUGUUUGCUCAUUUGCUUAUUUCUGGUUAGGAAUAACAUCGUCGUUUUUUGUUUUCUUUAGUCUACGCAUUGUCUUGGGAAUAUUUAAACAAACGCAAAUACUUGCUAGAGCAUUAGCGCCUGACUACCUUGACGACCCAAAUGACGUAUCUAUUCUCUAUGGAAAACUUCUGUCAUUGGGGAAACUAGGGACGGAUCUAGGAACUAACUUAGGUGGCCGAAUCACGAAGGCUUUCCCCAAAAGUGGAUUUACUAUAGCAUGUGCAUUGACAACACCAUUAUACUUCAUAAUUUUACGUUUAGUCAAUGGAUUGCCCGAAAUUUCUGAAGAGAAGAAAGAAGACAAUCCAGAGUCAAAGAAAAAAACACAAAAACUAAAUAAUUCCAUCACUGAGACUUACAAACAAAGUAUCAACAACAUUUACAGCAUAGACUGGAACAAAUACUGGGACAUAUACCUAUUCAAACUCAUUUUGUCCACCUCCAUAGGUUUAUACUAUAUGAAUUUUAGUUCAUUUUUAGAAGCAAACCACGAAAUAUCAUCUGACUACAUAGGCUAUAUUGGUACUUUCCAAGGAAUCAUUGCCACUAUAAUACUUGAAACCGUUUUUUACUCAAAUAAGUUGUAUCGUAAUGAUACAGAUUAUAGUCAGAGAAUCUUUCAUGUAUUUCUAGUCAUAGUUUUGUCCUUUGUAGGGUUAGCUUUAGUUCCUAAUGUUUAUUUGUAUGUGGCAUUAGUAGUGCCGAAAGCAAUGUAUUUCUCACUUGGUAGGAUGGUAACUUUAAAUGUUCUGUGGAGUAGAAGUGACGAUACCAACCGUGGAGUACUAAUAGGAUUAUUGUAUAAUGUAGGGCUUAUAUCUAGUGUUAUAACACCCCUCAUUAGUGGUAUCAUUAAUCAUUAUUUAGGAGUAAAUUAUGUAUUUUACACAGGUGCUAUGUUAGCAUCGGUAGGACUUGUUUUAAGUUAUCAAUCGAGAACAAGAUCUUUAGAAGAGAAAAUAAAAUAGAUAACUACACA